CCGUGCAUUCCUCUUCAUUCGUUGGCACAAGCGCGUUGUUCGCCUUGGCCGAACCCGUCGGUUUCCUGUGUUGCGUACCCACACCGAAGGAAUCGGUUGGCCCAAGGUUGUCCCGUUCGCCCAGCGCUGCCCGUUUGCACGGUGCGGCAUCGGGUGAACCCCAAAGCGGCGCCCGUGCUCCACGUUGCCCACGCACAGCGUCGGGUGCCGUGGCGCGCGGGUCCUCGCUCGUUCUCUGUGGGAUGCGGAAAACGUUGCGGGCACGAGGCCCCCGGCCUCUGAUCGCCCACGAAACGGCGUCAAGCGCCGCGCUCGAACGACGGUCGGCGUCGCACUGGCGAUUGGCGCCUUGCGACCCGGCCUCCGCGAGGAAUGCUACCUGGUUGAUCCUGCA
rnacentral:misc_RNA from 1 species